rnacentral:misc_RNA from 1 species
ACCAACGAUUACGAGGUGAAGAUGCGCAACGUGGUCAAGUUCCUCGAAAACGGCGACAAGGUGAAGGUCACGCUGCGCUUCCGCGGCCGCGAAAUGGCGCACCAGGAUCUGGGUCGCCAGCUGCUGGAGCGGGUGGUCGAAGAUACCAAGGAAAUCGGCAAGGUAGAGAACUUCCCCAAGAUGGAAGGCCGCCAGAUGGUCAUGAUGAUCGGCCCGAUGGGUCGCUGAUCCGCCGCAUCCGCCGGAAACGAACAGGGGCAUCCAAUCGGAUGCCCCUUUGCUUUUGGGCGGCCCGAAACCGCCCUGGAUGUCAGACGGC